GACUCUAUAGCCCAAUUGGUAGAGCACUCAUCUGGGAUGUGAGAAACCCAUGCUGGAGUCU
rnacentral:tRNA from 1 species